CAAAGGUUGACCUCGGAUCAGGUAGGAAUACCCGCUGAACUUAAGCAUAUCAAUAAGCGGAGG
rnacentral:rRNA from 1 species